rnacentral:rRNA from 1 species
AGUGAACGCUGGCGGUAGGCCUAACACAUGCGAGUCGAACGGCAGCACAGUAAGAGCUUGCUCUUACGGGUGGCGAGUGGCGGACGGGUGAGGAAUACAUCGGAAUCUACUUUUUCGUGGGGGAUAACGUAGGGAAACUUACGCUAAUACCGCAUACGACCUACGGGUGAAAGCAGGGGAUCUUCGGACCUUGCGCGAUUGAAUGAGCCGCUGUCGGAGUAGCUAGUUGGCGGGGUAAAGGCCCACCAAGGCGACGAUCCGUAGCUGGUCUGAGAGGAUGGUCGGCGACCCUGGAACUUGGACACGGUCCAGACGACUACGGGAGGCAGCAGUGGGGAAUAUUAGACAAUGGGCGCAAGCCUGAUCCAGCCAGACCGCGUGGGUGAAGGAGGCCUUCGGGUUGGAAAGACCUUUUGUUGGGAAAGAAAAGCAGCAGGUUAAUACCCCGCUGUUCUGACGGUACCCAAAGAAGAAGCACCGGCUAACUUCGUG